CUUGCACACAAAAUGGGUUGUGUUUCAGGAGAGGAACCUAGAGUUUAGGGACCCAGAUGUUCUACAACCAGCAGGAGGGAUGCCUGUCCUGUGCCCUGGAAGGAGGUGAUGUCACUACUCUACUGGAGAGGAAGCACGCCUGCCGAUCCUUCUAGAGUGAAACAGUAUUUCUCUCUUCUAAGCUGUUUGCCAUGCAGAUCAACCUGAAAAAAAUAGGAAAAAGGUCAAUCACUACCUCACUGCAAAUCAUGCAAACUUCAAGGAAACCAUGGAGAAUUGUUGCCUAAAAGCUAAAGAUGUUUCUCUUAGUCUUGGAAUGAGCAGAGCAUAGAUAAACAAGGACCCCUGUAAAUAUGAAGAGGAGCAACAUAAAAUAACUAUUAAUACAAAGUGACCCCUGAUUUGAAGACUGUGAAAAGAACUUUUCUUCAUAUAAUUAUACCCAUCUACUCAAACUGAAACAAUACUGCUCUCCCUAGGGGACUACUUUUCCUUCCUUUCUAUUUAACAUUCACAUCUAAUUAUUUGUCAUUCACCUGACUGGAGACCAAUCCGGUGUAACACCAAAAGGAUGAAGAGAGAUUUGAAUUUUACCAGGAGCCUUGAACAACUGACUAAAAUGGUGACAGAUUGGAACAUAAACAUCUUGUUGAUCAUCUCAAAAUUUCUAAUUAGUGAUGAUGGUUUAUGUAGAUAUGUACUGUAUAUUACCUAAUAAA